UACGUAGGGGGCAAGCGUUGUCCGGAUUCAUUGGGCGUAAAGAGCGUGUAGGCGGCCAGGUAGGUCGGUUGUGAAAACUGGAGGCUCAACCUUCAGAGGUCGACCGAAACCAUCUGGCUAGAGUCCGGGAGAGGAGAGUGGAAUUCCUGGUGUAGCGGUGAAAUGCGCAGAUAUCAGGAAGAACACCCGUGGCGAAAGCGGCUCUCUGGAACGGUACUGACGCUGAGGAGCGAAAGCAUGGGGAGCGAACAGG
rnacentral:rRNA from 1 species